UUGAAGGAAUUGUGUAAGCAUUGUGAAUUAUUUGGGUCCAAACCACAACUUUGUUUGGUCAAGUAGCCAUUUACUGAGGAGCAAAGAGUAAAAUUGAAAUCUAGACUCGUGUUACACCCAGUCUCCUAGAAGGAGUAACAAAUUGAUGACUUCUGAAAGUCCAGAGCAAAUUCAGAUGAAGCCACACCUACCGCUAGUACUGAGUGCGUGGAAAGCUGAGUCUUGGAAAGUACUUCACGGCUAAGAACAGCUUCAAGUUUCUCGCCACCAAGUGAAUCUCGAGUACUUCUCUCCAUGCUCCAAAGACAAAGACAGACUUUCUGCGUUACUGUUCCUCAUGAAGAUGCUUCAGGAAAACUACCAUCCCCCACUUAGGUGUACUUGAUACAUCAUUGCUGACCAAAUGAACCCC